UACGGAGGGUGCAAGCGUUGUUCGGAAUUACUGGGCGUAAAGCGCGCGCAGGCGGCCUUUUAAGUCUGAUGUGAAAGCCCACGGCUCAACCGUGGAAGGUCAUUGGAAACUGAAAGGCUUGAGUACAGAAGAGGAAAGCGGAAUUCCACGUGUAGCGGUGAAAUGCGUAGAGAUGUGGAGGAACACCAGUGGCGAAGGCGGCUUUCUGGUCUGUAACUGACGCUGAGGCGCGAAAGCGUGGGGAGCAAACAGG
rnacentral:rRNA from 1 species